rnacentral:rRNA from 1 species
GACAGAGGGGGCAAGCGUUGCUCGGAAUCACUGGGCGUAAAGGGUGCGUAGGCGGCUUGUUAAGUCAGGGUUGAAAGUUUUCGGCCCAACCGGAAAAUUGCCUUUGAUACUGGCGAGCUUGAGUGCGUGAGGGGUAACCGGAACGAGUGGUGUAGCGGUGAAAUGCGUAGAUAUCACUCGGAAGGCCAAAGGCGAAGGCAGGUUACUGGUACGCAACUGACGCUGAGGCACGAAAGCUAGGGGAGCGAAUGGG